AGGUCUUGCCUGCCCAGUGACAAGUUAAACGGCCGCGGUAUUUUGACCGUGCGAAGGUAGCGCAAUCACUUGUCUUUUAAAUGAAGACCCGUAUGAAUGGCGGAACGAGGGCUUAACUGUCUCCCUUUUCAAGUCAAUGAAAUUGAUCUGCCCGUGCAGAAGCGGACAUAUAAAUACAAGACGAGAAGACCCUUUGGAGCUUAAGAUACAAGAUCAACUACGUCAAGGGCCCUUAAAUUUAAACCAAACUAAGUAAUAUCUGAUCUAUAUCUUCGGUUGGGGCGACCACGGGAGAAAACAAAGCUCCCAUGCGGACCGGGGCUAUAACCCUAAAACCAAGAAAGACAUUUCUAAGUCACAGAACAUCUGACCACAGAGAUCCGGCCUACCGGCCGAUCAACGGACCAAGUUACCCUAGGGAUAACAGCGCAAUCCCCUUUCAGAGUCCAUAUCGACAAGGGGGUUUACGACCUCGAUGUUGGAUCAGGACAUCCUAAUGGUGCAGCCGCUAUUAAGGGUUCGUUUGUUCAACGAUUAAAGUCCUACGUG
rnacentral:rRNA from 1 species